UACGAGGGGAGCAAGCGUUGUUCGGAAUUAUUGGGCGUAAAGAGCGCGUAGGCGGUCUGUCGCGUCUGCUGUGAAAACUCGGGGCUUAACCCCGGGCCUGCAGUGGGUACGGGCAGACUAGAGUGCGGUAGGGGAGACUGGAAUUCCUGGUGUAGCGGUGAAAUGCGUAGAGAUCCGGAGGAACACCAAAGGCGAAGGCAGUGUCCUGGGGAGUACCUGACGCUCAGGUGCGAAAGCCAGGGGAGCGAACGGG
rnacentral:rRNA from 1 species